rnacentral:rRNA from 1 species
UGAGUACGAGAUGCUACGGCAUCGAAGCAGUCUAUGUCAUACUUCCAAGAAAAGCUUGCACUGUCAGAAACAGAUAAUGCCUGUACCAUAACCGACACAGGUGGGUAGGUAGAGUAUACUAAGGGGCGCGAGAUAACUCUCUCUAAGGAACUCGGCAAAAUGACUCCGUAACUUCGGGAGAAGGAGUGCCUUAUUUUUAAGGUUGCAAUAACAAGAUCCAAGCAACUGUUUACCAAAAACACAGGUCUCCGCUAAGUCGUAAGACGAUGUAUGGGGGCUGACGCCUGCCCAGUGCCAGAAGGUUAAAGAAGUCGGUUAGCAUUCGCGAAGCUGGUAACUGAAGCCCUGGUGAACGGCGGCCGUAACAAUAACAGUCCUAAGGUAGCGAAAUUCCUUGUCGGGUAAGUUCCGACCCGCACGAAAGGCGUAAUGAUUUGGAUACUGUCUCGGAGAGGGGCUCGGUGAAAUAGACUUGUCUGUGAAGAUGCGGACUACCUGCACCUGGACAGAAAGACCCUAUGAAGCUUUACUGUAACUUGAAAUUGAAAUUGGACUUUAUUUGCGCAGUAUAGGUGGGAGGCGUUGAAAAUAUUCUUGCGGGAAUAUUGGAGCCAUCAGUGAGAUACCACUCUUGUAAUGUUAGAUUUCUAACUUUAUAUCAUUAUCUGGUUAAAGAACAGUUUCAGGCGGGCAGUUUGACUGGGGCGGUCGCCUCCCAAAUGGUAACGGAGGCGCACAAAGGUUUCCUCUGAACGGGUAGAAAUCGUAUCUAGAGUGUAAAGGCAUAAGGAAGCUUGACUGUGAGACCUACAAGUCGAGCAGGGACGAAAGUCGGUCUUAGUGAUCUGACGGUGCUGAGUGGAAAGGCCGUCACUCAACGGAUAAAAGUUACUCUAGGAUAACAGGCUGAUCUCCCCCAAGAGUUCACAUCGACGGGGAGGUUUGGCACCUCGAUGUCGGCUCAUCGCAUCCUGGGGCGGUAGUACGUCCCAAGGGUUGGGCUGUUCGCCCAUGAAAGCGGUACGCGAGCUGGGUUCAGAACGUCGUGAGACAGUUCGGUCCAUAUCCGGUGUAGGCGUUAGAAUAUUGAGAGGAGCCUUCUUUAGUACGAGAGGACCGAGAAGGACAUACCUCUGGUGUACCAGUUAUCGUGCCAACGGUAAACGCUGGGUAGCUAUGUAUGGAGUGGAUAACUGCUGAAAGCAUCUAAGUGGGAAGCCCACCUCAAGAUAAGUAUUCUCAUC